CUGGGAAGGAGGGAGACUUGUGACAGCCUCUGGGGUGUGCAGGAUCAGAGGUGUAGCCACUGGGUCAGAGGCACAGUGUUGGGGGGGGGGAAGCGAGUUUAGUAUUGCAAGCAAAAUUUACUCAGAAACAUCCAUGGAAUUACUGAUCCGUCAAUGGACAAGCCAGUGUUUUCCAAGGAUACAGAAGCCUUCUACCUUCACAAGUCCGUAUCCUGGAGUCCAAGAAAUUAUUAGAAGAUAACAUGUCUUCAGCUUUUACACAAUACAACACAGGCAAAGCUCACUCUCACUUAAAGAGGGCGACUCUCUUUGCCUCCUUUUUGGCCACAGAGAAAACAAAAUUGACUCAAAGAAGGACGUACUGGUGAGUGCUGGAAAGAGCAAACGGAGUUGGAGCCAGAGAAUCUCAGUUUGGAUCCCAGUUUCCUGUGUGACCUUGGGCAAGGUACUCAGCGUCUCUGUUCUCAGUUUCUUUUCUCAUCCAUAAAAUGAAAGGAGUGGGCUAGA
rnacentral:lncRNA from 1 species